rnacentral:rRNA from 1 species
UCUCCGUAGGUGAACCUGCGGAGGGAUCAUUACAAGUGACCCCGGUUUACCACCGGGAUGUUCAUAACCCUUUGUUGUCCGACUCUGUUGCCUCCGGGGCGACCCUGCCUUCGGGCGGGGGCUCCGGGUGGACACUUCAAACUCUUGCGUAACUUUGCAGUCUGAGUAAACUUAAUUAAUAAAUUAAAACUUUUAACAACGGAUCUCUUGGUUCUGGCAUCGAUGAAGAACGCAGCGAAAUGCGAUAAGUAAUGUGAAUUGCAGAAUUCAGUGAAUCAUCGAAUCUUUGAACGCACAUUGCGCCCCCUGGUAUUCCGGGGGGCAUGCCUGUUCGAGCGUCAUUUCACCACUCAAGCCUCGCUUGGUAUUGGGCAACGCGGUCCGCCGCGUGCCUCAAAUCGACCGGCUGGGUCUUCUGUCCCCUAAGCGUUGUGGAAACUAUUCGCUAAAGGGUGUUCGGGAGGCUACGCCGUAAAACAACCCCAUUUCUAAGGUUGACCUCGGAUCAGGUAGGGAUACCCGCUGAACUUAA